rnacentral:rRNA from 1 species
CCUACGGGUGACAGCAGUGGGGAAUAUUGCACAAUGGGGGAAACCCUGAUGCAGCGACGCCGCGUGAGUGAAGAAGUAUUUCGGUACGUAAAGCUCUAUCAGCAGGGAAGAAAAUGACGGUACCUGACUAAGAAGCCCCGGCUAACUACGUGCCAGCAGCCGCGGUAAUACGUAGGGGGCAAGCGUUAUCCGGAUUUACUGGGUGUAAAGGGAGCGUAGACGGCAGCGCAAGUCUGGAGUGAAAUCCCAUGGCUUAACCAUGGAACUGCUUUGGAAACUGUGCAGCUAGAGUGCAGGAGAGGUAAGCGGAAUUCCUAGUGUAGCGGUGAAAUGCGUAGAUAUUAGGAGGAACACCAGUGGCGAAGGCGGCUUACUGGAUUGUAACUGACGUUGAGGCUCGAAAGCGUGGGGAGCAAACAGGAUUAGAUACCCGGGUAGUC